UGGGGAAUAUUGCACAAUGGGCGCAAGCCUGAUGCAGCCAUGCCGCGUGUAUGAAGAAGGCCUUCGGGUUGUAAAGUACUUUCAGCGGGGAGGAAGGGAGUAAAGUUAAUACCUUUGCUCAUUGACGUUACCCGCAGAAGAAGCACCGGCUAACUCCGUGCCAGCAGCCGCGGUAAUACGGAGGGUGCAAGCGUUAAUCGGAAUUACUGGGCGUAAAGCGCACGCAGGCGGUUUGUUAAGUCAGAUGUGAAAUCCCCGGGCUCAACCUGGGAACUGCAUCUGAUACUGGCAAGCUUGAGUCUCGUAGAGGGGGGUAGAAUUCCAGGUGUAGCGGUGAAAUGCGUAGAGAUCUGGAGGAAUACCGGUAGCGAAGGCGGCCCCCUGGACAAAGACUGACGCUCAGGUGCGAAAGCGUGGGGAGCAAACAGG
rnacentral:rRNA from 1 species